UACGUAGGGUGCAAGCGUUAAUCGGAAUUACUGGGCGUAAAGCGUGCGCAGGCGGUUAUGCAAGACAGAUGUGAAAUCCCCGGGCUCAACCUGGGAACUGCAUUUGUGACUGCAUGGCCAGAGUACGGUAGAGGGGGAUGGAAUUCCGCGUGUAGCAGUGAAAUGCGUAGAUAUGCGGAGGAACACCGAUGGCGAAGGCAAUCCCCUGGACCUGUACUGACGCUCAUGCACGAAAGCGUGGGGAGCAAACAGG
rnacentral:rRNA from 1 species